ACCCUUUUCUUCAAAUCGGCUUACAAUGUGCAGGUUAUUGUGGAUGAUAAUGAGCCUGAAGAGAGGCUGUUAAUAAGGUUCAGAAGAGAGGUCAUGAGGGCUGGUGUCAUUCAAGAAUGUAAGAGGAGGAGAUUCUUUGAGAACAAACAUGACGAAAAGAAACGCAAGUCCCGUGAAGCCGCUAAGCGUAACAAGAAAAGGCGCCUCCAAUCAAGACCUACAAUGCAAAACAAGCAGGAAAUAUCCACAAGCAAGAAGGAUAAAGAUGACGAAGAUAAUUGGGAGAUGCCUGAAGGAGACCUUUCUUAUUAAACAUUUCACCUUGUUUAUGUUAGUAGUAUGCCCUA
rnacentral:misc_RNA from 1 species